GAUCCUAUUGUGUUGGCCUUCGGGA
rnacentral:siRNA from 1 species